rnacentral:rRNA from 1 species
UGAGGAAUAUUGCGCAAUGGCCGAAAGGCUGACGCAGCGACGCCGCGUGCAGGAUGACGGCCUUCGGGUUGUAAACUGCUUUUGUCGGGGACGAGAGAGGACGGUACCCGGCGAAUAAGUCACGGCUAACUACGUGCCAGCAGCCGCGGUAACACGUAGGUGGCGAGCGUUAUCCGGAUUUACUGGGCGUAAAGCGUGUGCAGACUGACUAGCAAGUGGUGUAUGAAAUCGCGGUGCUUAACACAGCGAGGUUAUGCCAGACUGCUGGACUAGAGUGCGAGAGAGGGAUGUGGAAUUCCGGGUGUAGUGGUGAAAUGCGUAGAGAUCGGGAGGAACACCUGUGGCGAAGGCGGCCACCUGGUUGGAUACUGACGCUGAGACGCGAAAGCGUGGGGAGCAAACAGGAUUAGAUACCCAUGUAGUCCCUGAGCGGGCUGGCAAGGCGCAU